UGUAAGGUUAGUGGUGUGAGAACUACGAGAAAGUUCCCAGUGGGUUCGGCCGCCGACCUCGCCGACUCACCCACUAGGUCUAAUCAGGCAUAUGUAGGCAAAGAAAGUAAAGCAGAUAGUAACCAACUAGAUAUGUAACUACUACAAUGCCUGUACAAAGCUGAAAGAAAGCAAUAUAUAUGAAAACUGUAAAUAUGCAUGCAUGCUUUUCAUUAACUUUACCCAAUCUUUUGGUUAACCCUUUGGUUAACAAUUACUCACUGACACUAUCCCAAAUAUCGGGGAGACGCAACCUGCACCCGACGGGACUGUCAACUGGGGGAGACGCAACCUCCUGGUCCAGUACAGAUGACUACUCCGGAGCUCAUCGUUCAAGGAGGAGCGACCUCACUUGAACCAAACAAAUGUGAGUAUGAUCUGAUCCCCCUUUAGAGGAUUCAACUGACAAACACUGUCACACUUUACUCUAACUAGCUUUAUAUGCUAGUUUCACAAUUCAUAUCUCAAUACUAACCAAAUCUCUAGUCAUAUGUCACCAGGUUCACUAUUGUCAUAGUUAGGGGUGGAACUGGGCCGGGUUUGGGUCGGGUAAUACUAUGCCCAAGCCCGGCCCAAAAGAAAAUGUUGGGCUUCGGGUCGGGCUUCUACCCAAUUUUUUUUGAAAAUUAAGGCCCGACCCAAGCCCAAGCCCAAUGCCCAAUACCCAUCGGGCUUUGUGGAGGCCCAUUUUAUGCAUUUAUCAUAUAAUACAUAAAUACUUUUAUUUGUAUAAAAUUAAAAUAAAAUGCUUAUUUUUAGUUUGAUCACAUCAAAGAAAUUACUAUCUAAUAUCAAAUAUAUUCUAAUAUGGAACUAAAUAUUUUGUUAAUAUAUAAUAUAUCCUCAUAUAUAUAUAAGUAUAUAUCAUUAAUAACAAUAUAUACUAUAUAUGAUAUAUGAUAUUAUUUAUUUCUUUUAUAGAUAAAUAAUAUAUAUAUAUAAUUAAAUAAUUUAUUUUGAUAAUUAAUAUAUCGGGCUUUUGGGUCGGGCUCGGGCCGGGCUUGGACAUGCCCAAAUAGGCCCAAAAUUUCUUCGGGCCUAAAUUUUUAAGCCCGGCCCGAACCCAAAGUUAUAUUUUUAAUACCCAAAGCCCGGCCCAAACAUGGCCCAUCAGGCCGGGCCUUGUUUAGGCCCGGGCCCAGUUCCACCCCUAGUCNUUCAUAUCUCAAUACUAACCAAAUCUCUAGUCAUAUGUCACCAGGUUCACUAUUGUCAUAGUCCAAUGCAUUCAUAGGGUUAGAUAUUCACAUUCUAUGUUCAUACAUUUACAAGGUUGAUACACAAUUGCAUAAUCAAUAUUCUUUACAUACUCUCAAUGCCCUAUAAUGCAUGAAUUCAUUGUAAGUAGACAAUUAUGCUCAAUGAAAUAUUUUAGACAUAAAAAGUGAUUCAGAGAUUUCGGAUAGCACCACCCACCUG
rnacentral:lncRNA from 1 species